rnacentral:rRNA from 1 species
GGGUUGUGAGGUUAAGCGACUAAGCGUACACGGUGGAUGCCCUGGCAGUCAGAGGCGAUGAAGGACGUGCUAAUCUGCGAUAAGCGUCGGUGAGGUGAUAUGAACCGUUAUAACCGGCGAUUUCCGAAUGGGGAAACCCAGUGUGUUUCGACACACUAUCAUUAACUGAAUCCAUAGGUUAAUGAGGCGAACCGGGGGAACUGAAACAUCUAAGUACCCCGAGGAAAAGAAAUCAACCGAGAUUCCCCCAGUAGCGGCGAGCGAACGGGGAGGAGCCCAGAGCCUGAAUCAGUGUGUGUGUUAGUGGAAGCGUCUGGAAAGGCGCGCGAUACAGGGUGACAGCCCCGUACACAAAAAUGCACAUAUUGUGAGCUCGAUGAGUAGGGCGGGACACGUGGUAUCCUGUCUGAAUAUGGGGGGACCAUCCUCCAAGGCUAAAUACUCCUGACUGACCGAUAGUGAACCAGUACCGUGAGGGAAAGGCGAAAAGAACCCCGGCGAGGGGAGUGAAAAAGAACCUGAAACCGUGUACGUACAAGCAGUGGGAGCCUCUUAAUGGGGUGACUGCGUACCUUUUGUAUAAUGGGUCAGCGACUUAUAUUCUGUAGCAAGGUUAACCGAAUAGGGGAGCCGAAGGGAAACCGAGUCUUAACUGGGCGUUAAGUUGCAGGGUAUAGACCCGAAACCCGGUGAUCUAGCCAUGGGCAGGUUGAAGGUUGGGUAACACUAACUGGAGGACCGAACCGACUAAUGUUGAAAAAUUAGCGGAUGACUUGUGGCUGGGGGUGAAAGGCCAAUCAAACCGGGAGAUAGCUGGUUCUCCCCGAAAGCUAUUUAGGUAGCGCCUCGUGAAUUCAUCUCCGGGGGUAGAGCACUGUUUCGGCAAGGGGGUCAUCCCGACUUACCAACCCGAUGCAAACUGCGAAUACCGGAGAAUGUUAUCACGGGAGACACACGGCGGGUGCUAACGUCCGUCGUGAAGAGGGAAACAACCCAGACCGCCAGCUAAGGUCCCAAAGUCAUGGUUAAGUGGGAAACGAUGUGGGAAGGCCCAGACAGCCAGGAUGUUGGCUUAGAAGCAGCCAUCAUUUAAAGAAAGCGUAAUAGCUCACUGGUCGAGUCGGCCUGCGCGGAAGAUGUAACGGGGCUAAACCAUGCACCGAAGCUGCGGCAGCGACGCUUAUGCGUUGUUGGGUAGGGGAGCGUUCUGUAAGCCUGUGAAGGUGUGCUGUGAGGCAUGCUGGAGGUAUCAGAAGUGCGAAUGCUGACAUAAGUAACGAUAAAGCGGGUGAAAAGCCCGCUCGCCGGAAGACCAAGGGUUCCUGUCCAACGUU